rnacentral:rRNA from 1 species
GACGAACGCUGGCGGCGUGCUUAACACAUGCAAGUCGAACGGGAUUUAGUAGACAGAAGCCUCGGCUAAAGAUUACUAAUGAGAGUGGCGAACGGGUGAGUAACGCGUGAGCAACCUGCCUAUGACAGUGGGAUAGCCUCGGGAAACCGGGAUUAAUACCGCAUAAAAUCGUAGAAACACAUGUUUCAACGGUCAAAGAUUUAUCGGUCAUAGAUGGGCUCGCGUCUGAUUAGCUAGUUGGUGAGAUAACAGCCCACCAGGGCGACGAUCAGUAGCCGGUCUGAGAGGAUGAACGGCCACAUUGGAACUGAGACACGGUCCAAACUCCUACGGGAGGCAGCAGUGGGGAAUAUUGCACAAUGGGGGAAACCCUGAUGCAGCGACGCCGCGUGAACGAAGAAGGUAUUCGUAUCGUAAAGUUCUGUCCUAUGGGAAGAUAAUGACAGUACCAUAGAAGAAAGCUCCGGCUAAAUACGUG